AUAGGCGGAGCAGAGUCAGUCGACCAAUCAGCGUUUUGUCUACAGACGUCGGCUUACGUGUGUCGUCAUCGGAAGUGACUUGCUUGCACAGAGACACGGAAAAACAAAAUCUGAAAGAAACGUUAAAAAUAUAGAAUAAAACCAACGUUUGAGUCAUGGCUUCACCGCUUUGAUUUCUUAGCACCGUGAGAAACACCAUUACUGAACAAGUCUGGAUGCUAAAACGGGCUCUGGAGUUGCUUUUGUCGAACAUGAGUGAGACUGGAGGCUGAGCACACCAGCGGGUCUACUUACUCAGCUGCUUCAGCCUGGAGGGAAACACCAACUCUAACCUUACAGACCAAAGAGGUCUACUUGUUCAGUUGCUGCAGCCUGCAGGGAAACACCAACUCUCACCUUACAGUCCAAAGAGGUGUCACCACUUCAUUCACCACAUCGUCCAAGAUUGCCAAGAUGUCAUCCACUAUCGCAGAGACAUGGUCCAUGAUCGGAGAGACAUUGUUGAGGACGAGGGAGACAUCGUCCACGAUCAGAGACAUUGUCCAUGAUCACAGAGACCUUGUCAAAGAUGAGAGAGACGUUGUCCAUGAUCAGAGACAUUGUCCCAUGCUUCGUAGAGACCUUGCGAUAGAAUCGGCGGAGACGGGGGUCACCGAUUUGACGGCACUGCCCGCGAUCAUGGAAACAUUGUUGAUGAUCACAGACACAGCGUCUAUGAUCUCAGAGACAUCGUCCACGAUCACGAAGACAUUGUUCAUGAUCACAGAGACUUUGUCCAUAAUCUCAGAGACAUUGUCCACGAUCACAGAGACGUAGUCCGCGAUCACAGAGUGUCUUCGUGCAAUGAGGAAGUUCUUUGACACCAGGACAGAGGCCU